GAAGAGUUAGAGUUGAAGAACUCCAUGCUCAAACAGGCAAACAAUGAUUUUACUCGGGAAGUGGCGAACCUGAACAUUAAACUCAAGUGGAUUGAGGUGAGUUCUUGAAGGAGAAAGAGGAAGUUCCAAAAGAGAGAAAUGAAAAGGCCCCCCUUGAGGCUCAUGUCAUCGAACUACAAGCUAGGGUCUCUACCUUGGAAUAAGAAAUGGAUGGGCAUGUAGCUAAGGCUUAUCUGGACUUGCAAGAAACUAUUUACAAAUGACUUAAUUGGCUGCAUUUGAAUUUAAACUUCAAAUGGGUUAAUACCAUUUUUCAAGGGGAAGAGGAUGAUGUUGAAGCUAAUGAAGGUCCGAGGGAGAAUGACCCCGAGCCCUAAAAAAUUC
rnacentral:misc_RNA from 1 species